CCUACGGGUGGCAGCAGUGAGGAAUAUUGGUCAAUGGACGAGAGUCUGAACCAGCCACGUCGCGUGAAGGAUGACUGCUCUAUGGGUUGUAAACUUCUUUUAUAUGGGAAUAAAAUGUUCCACGUGUGGUAUUUUGUAUGUACCAUCUGAAUAAGGAUCGGCUAACUCCGUGCCAGCAGCCGCGGUAAUACGGAGGUGGCUAGCGUUAUCCGGAUUUUUUGGUGUUAAGGGGUGCGCAGGCGGCCUGUGAAGUCAGCGGUAAAAGCCUGGGGCUCAACCCAGGCGAGCCGUUGAAACUGGCGGGCUGGAGUGGGAGAGAAGUACGCGGAAUGCGCGGUGUAGCGGUGAAAUGCUUAGAUAUCGCGCAGAACCCCGAUUGCGAAGGCAGCGUACCGGCUCCACACUGACGCUGAGGCACGAAAGCGUGGGUAUCGAACAGGAUUAGAUACCCUUGUAGUC
rnacentral:rRNA from 1 species